rnacentral:rRNA from 1 species
GAUGAACGCUAGCGGCAGGCCUAAUACAUGCAAGUCGAACGAUACCAGAGAGCUUGCUUUCUGGGAAAGUGGCGCACGGGUGCGUAACGCGUAUGCAACCUACCUUAAUCAGGGGGAUAGCCUCUCGAAAGAGAGAUUAACACCGCAUAAAAUCACACUUCGGCAUCGAAGAAUGAUCAAAUAUUUAUAGGAUUAAGAUGGGCAUGCGUGACAUUAGCUAGUUGGUGAGGUAAUGGCUCACCAAGGCUACGAUGUCUAGGGGAUCUGAGAGGAUGACCCCCCACACUGGUACUGAGACUCGGACCAGACUCCUACGGGAGGCAGCAGUAAGGAAUAUUGGUCAAUGGAGGCAACUCUGAACCAGCCAUGCCGCGUGCAGGAAGACGGCCCUAUGGGUUGUAAACUGCUUUUAUACGGGAAUAAACCUCUCUACGUGUAGGGAGUUGAAUGUACUGUAAGAAUAAGGAUCGGCUAACUCCGUGCCAGCCGCCGCCGUAACAC